rnacentral:rRNA from 1 species
GAUGAACGCUGGCGGCGUGCCUAAUACAUGCCAGUCGAGCGAACAGACGAGGAUCUUGCUCCUCUGACGUUAGCGGCGGACGGGUGAGUAACACGUGGAUAACCUACCUAUAAGACUGGGAUACCUUCGGGAAACCGGAGCUAAUACCGGAUAAUAUAUUGAACCUCAUGGUUCAAUAGUGAAAGACGGUUUUGCUGUCACUUAUAGAUGGAUCCGCGCCGCAUUAGCUAGUUGGUAAGGUAACGGCUUACCAAGGCAACGAUGCGUAGCCGACCUGAGAGGGUGAUCUGCCACACUGGAACUGAGACACGGUCCAGACUCCUACGGGAGGCAGCAGUAGGGAAUCUUCCGCAAUGGGCGAAAGCCUGACGGAGCAACGCGGCGUGAGUGAUGAAGGUCUUCGGAUCGUAAAACUCUGUUAUUAGGGAAGAACAAAUGUGUAAGUAACUAUGCACGUCUUGACGGUACCUAAAGAAAAAGCCACGGCUAACUACGUG